rnacentral:tRNA from 1 species
GCCGACGUAGCUCAAUCGGCAGAGCAACUGACUUGUAAUCAGUAGGUUCUGGGUUCGAUUCCCAGCGUCGGCUCCA